GGGAAGGUAGCUCAGUGGUAUAGAGUGCUUGCCUUGCAUGCAUGAGGCCCUGGGUUCAAUUCCUCAGCACCA
rnacentral:tRNA from 1 species